UUCUUGGUCAUUUAGAGGAAGUAAAAGUCGUAACAAGGUUUCCGUAGGUGAACCUGCGGAAGGAUCAUUAUAGAAUUACGAGCGAGGGUUGUCGCUGGCCUCCUCGGGGGCAUGUGCACGCCCGAGCUCUUAAAUCCACAACACACCUGUGAACCCACCGUGGGCCCCUCGCGGGGCUUACCUUUAUAUACUCUGAAUGUCUCAUAGAACGUCGAAUUGUUUGCCUUAAAAACGCAAUCAAAUACAACUUUCAACAACGGAUCUCUUGGCUCUCGCAUCGAUGAAGAACGCAGCGAAAUGCGAUAAGUAAUGUGAAUUGCAGAUUUUCAGUGAAUCAUCGAAUCUUUGAACGCACCUUGCGCUCCUUGGUAUUCCGAGGAGCAUGCCUGUUUGAGUGUCAUUAAACCAUCAACCUCCUCGUGGGGCUUGGACUUUGGAGCGUGCUGGCCUGAGGUCGGCUCCUCUUUAAAUGCAUCAGCGGAAAGCCAUCGAUGUUUCCCGUCGGCGUGAUAAUCCUGUUGCGCCGCUAGGUCACGUCGGGGUCCGCUUAUAACGGUCUUCGGACAAACAUCUAUUUUGACCUCAAAUCAGGUAGGACUACCCGCUGAACUUAAGCAUAUCAAUAAGCGGAGGAA
rnacentral:rRNA from 1 species